rnacentral:tRNA from 1 species
AUAUGAGGCCAAAAACGGAUUCGAAAUCCGUUGUACUGGCAACAGUACCUAGGGUUCAAAUCCCUAUCUCUCCGCCA